CAGAGAGCUAGAUCAUGGUAGCAUCUGAAUAUCAGGAUAGACUCUUUGAAAUACACUCUGUAUUCAGGGGAGACCUGCUCACUUAAAGAAUCCAUUGCACAAAUGACUUCCCAGGUCAUCUGAACAGCCAACAGAUUUUCCUCUGACGAGCUGCAUGCUGCAUCAUGGAAGUCACAUGUGAGAAACAGUCCGGCCAGGGAGCCUGGCUCAUAGGAGAAAAUGGAACCAUCAGCCUCCCAGAUAAUAAUUCCCAUAAGGCAAUGCGUCACUAGGGGAAAAGGCAGUUUCAUCUUCACCUGCAUCAAAAUAAGCAUUGUGAUUUCAGGACUUUCAUAACAUUGCAUUUUGAUCAAAAUUAUUGGAAUUUCCAGUCUGUGCAUGCAAAAAAAAAUAAAACUUUAACUUUUUUGUCUCA